rnacentral:lncRNA from 1 species
CUUUAUCAUUUUAAGUACCUUAUUUUUCUUAUGAAAUUACUUGCUAGAAUAUACAUGGGCCAAGCUAAGCUACUCUUUAAGCUGAUAAACUAUUCUAUUUUUUUAAUGUCAUGAUGAGGCCCUGUAACAUACAUAUAGAUGUUUGUAAGGUUGUAAAUGGUUGUUCCAAAACACUGGAAAAUCAUAUUAUGUCCAUGAAUAUAAAUCUCAUUAGUUCAGAUCCGGUGGGCCACAGGGGGAGAGUUUAACAUAUGACCAAUUCAGAAAGGAGAACACUGACCUAAUAGAACAAGAAGAAGUUGUUUUACAAUCCUUUAUUAGUAUAUGAUUACCCUUUAAGGGUUUCACUUACUAACCUUUUUAAACAAUCAUCUAAGGCAAUUUUACAGUUCACUUAAAAUUUUUAAGACUAUACACUCCUAGGACCUUAGCCUCUUUUCAAGAGAGACAAAGGGAAAAUUGCAUAAAAACUGCCCUGUUUAGAUGUUACUCUAUUGUAGGAGUGGCUCUAUAUUAUCCCCCUUCUAUAACCAACCAGCAUGGCUUUGACUGCUACAUACAGCUCAAUUGUAGCAUGCAAAAAUGGAUUCUGCUUCCUAAAUUUAUUAAUUGGCAUGCAAGUUUCUGCAGAAAUCCAUAGUCCCCCAAAAUUAAUGACAAAUAUACGUUGCAGAUUUAACUUAAGACAACAUAUAGCUGGAAAACCAACACUUGAACACAAUUGUGGGCCUGAGAGGAAGGAACACAAGAGAAAUAGUUCUAGUUUCUCAACCUCACAAGUAUAUAAAGACUUUAACAGCAUACAGAUGAUUUAAAAUAAUACAAAGUUCCCAGAGUAAAUAAUUUAUAUUCCCACUACAUUUUACGAGUUUCCACGUAGGGCAAGACAGUUUCUCACAGUGAAAAAGCACUUAUCAUACAUAGGCACACUGACUGAGACUGUCCAAGUUCCAUGAACACCUUACAAAGUUUUAUGGCAAACCACAUCAAUUUCCUUUCUUCUCCAACUAUUUGAAAAUUAACAUUUUAGAAGUAGAAUAUAUUUUUAAAUCAGUAAUAAUUAUUUCAAAACAUUUUUAACACACUACAUAAG